UAGUUAGACGAGCCAUAUCAGAAAAGAUUAGUGAUAUUAGGAAGAGGAGCCCUCAGACAGAGGGAAAGCAGUAAACUGCUGCUGUCGACGCCACAUACUUCUUUGCCAAAGUUGUUGGUUGGUUUAAAAAUAAAUAAAAAUGACAAACUGCAA